CAGAUGGAGAAGGGUGGGUGAGAAACGAAAGGAGGCACAUGCUUCUCUGUGAGCCUUGGUCCAAACAUUUAUUUCUGUUUGUACAGUGUAUAAAUUUGUCUUAUUCGAGUGAGUUUAACAUGUUGAUUUGUAUUAUUUUGAUCCACUGAGCAUUUUGUGGUCUAAAAGAGGUCUAAUAGACAUCUAAAUGUAGUCUAGACGACUGAUCUAAAAUCAGACUCCAACAGGUCUAAAAAUGAAAGUUUUCAGACGUCUAAAUUUAGACCCAGUUUAGACUAGCCAGUAUAUUGGCUAGUAUAUUGCUCAACUGCUAUCAUAAUUAUUUUGGUUUAGUACUUGGAGAUCAGUUAUGCAUCUCACAGUCGCUUUUUGAAAUAAAUACUUAUCAAAUAGCGGGUUAAAGUGCAACGUCUAAAUUCCGUCUACAGAUAUACAGAAUCUAGAUGGUUGAAAUUAGGUCUAAAAAUAAUUUGACGUCUAAUAGCCAUCUAUUGCUCAGUGGGUAGUUGAGUAUGGCAAAAAAUAAAUCCAUAGUUACCAGUUUUUAGUUUUUGCUGUGCAAGGCAUUUUAUGAGUUGAGCUGAUUUGAUUCAGAGAGCAUCCAAGGAUCUUGAAUGCUGCUGACCGACUCCACUUUGACACUUUUUGGAUCAAAACAAAAUCCGGUUAAUCCCAGUAAACACAGCUCUGCCUCUGUUGUGUAUGAACCCUGCUGUCUUUCAUCAUCCUUUGGAAAUGUCCAAAAAUGGAGAAGAGAGAGGGAAAACCACCACAGGGGGGGAAGGGUAUAGCAUCUGACAGGCUGUUCUAGUGAUGAGACCCAUGACUGACACAUUUACUGUGAAACAAGACAAGACUGAGAGUGUGUGAGAGAGAUAGACACAGGGAGUGAGAGGACAAGAUGGAAAUAAUGCCACACACACAUACACACACUUAAAAUGAAAAGCAGUGUGUCUCUUUCUGUCAGCUGAGUAUAGUCACGGGACUGAAGCUUCGUUUCACUGAUUCCAUUCCAUGCAGGCUGCCGAGGAAUCUUGCAGGGGCACAGGCAUCCCAGCAGGACUGCAAUCCCUUCAUGACGUCCUGACUGUAAGCUUUGCAACAGACACCCAUGUGUCACUUUUUUUUCCAUAAUGAGCUCUCAUUUGAUCUGCUGCCAUUGAAAUGGCUCUCUGUCUGAGGCGACUGUCACUGUUUAUCCGCAUUAUGAAGAUAACGCGGCCAUCUAGUGUGGUUUGGCGGUGUCAGUUGCGAGGAGUGUGGAGGAGAUUGUCAGAGAAGAGGAGAAUGAUUCAUUGUGUUGCUCUAUAAUUGAAUGAUCCGGCAUUUAUCGUGGGCAUGACGGUGAGAUCAUCUCCCGCUGUUAGACCUGCGGGCCCCCGAGGCCGGACAGGACACACACAUUUAAAGACCCGUACGUGUGGUUUUAAAUUCUGCAGCCUAUUAACUCUCAAUUUUCAAAUUCCUUUCUUUACGGCUGGCUAUUUUCUGGAGUAGACCACAAAUAUCAAGAUUGAUAUCCUAACUUACAGGAAGCCAUUGGUCUCUAUUUCACCACAAUGUGAAAGUCAUUAGCGGCAGCUUGAAAUUUCAUUGAAACGGUAAUCAAUCACACUAAAUAUUUUCUCAUGUGUAUGUUUGAGUAAAACUUACUUUGAUUUUUUUUGGCGGUGCAUUCAGGACAAACAGACAUUUGAGUGUUUAGGGACUGAAAAGCCGUCCAGAACCAAUUUUUAAAAACUUUUUUGUCUCCUUAUUUUUUAUUUUCUGUGUGUAUGGUUUUUGAACGCAGGAAAAUGUGCCAAAAAAUCUCAACUUUGCAAUCUAAUGUUUCAAAAAGUUGGGUUUAUUUCAACGUUUA
rnacentral:lncRNA from 1 species